rnacentral:rRNA from 1 species
AGCGAACGCUGGCGGCAGGCCUAACACAUGCAAGUCGAACGAACCUUUCGGGGUUAGUGGCGGACGGGUGAGUAACACGUGGGAACGUGCCUUUAGGUUCGGAAUAACUCAGGGAAACUUGUGCUAAUACCGAAUGUGCCCUUCGGGGGAAAGAUUUAUCGCCUUUAGAGCGGCCCGCGUCUGUUUAGCUAGUUGGGUGAGGUAAUGGCUCACCAAGGCGACGAUCAGUAGCUGGUCUGAAAGGAUGAUAAGCCACAUUGGGACUGAGACACGGCCCAAACUCCUACGGGAGGCAGCAGUGGGGAAUCUUGCGCAAUGGGCGAAAGCCUGACGCAGCCAUGCCGCGUGAAUGAUGAAGGUCUUAGGAUUGUAAAAUUCUUUCACCGGGGACGAUAAUGACGGUACCCGGAGAAGAAGCCCCGGCUAACUUCGUG